rnacentral:rRNA from 1 species
UGGGGAAUAUUGCACAAUGGGCGAAAGCCUGAUGCAGCAAUGCCGCGUGAGUGAUGAAGGCCUUCGGGUUGUAAAGCUCUGUCUUUUGGGACGAUAAUGACGGUACCAAAGGAGGAAGCCACGGCUAACUACGUGCCAGCAGCCGCGGUAAUACGUAGGUGGCAAGCGUUGUCCGGAUUUACUGGGCGUAAAGGAUGCGUAGGCGGAUUUUUAAGUGAGAUGUGAAAUACCCGGGCUUAACUUGGGUGCUGCAUUUCAAACUGGGAAUCUAGAGUGCGGGAGAGGAGAAUGGAAUUCCUAGUGUAGCGGUGAAAUGCGUAGAGAUUAGGAAGAACACCAGUGGCGAAGGCGAUUCUCUGGACCGUAACUGACGCUGAGGCAUGAAAGCGUGGGUAGCAAACAGGAUUAGAUACCCUGGUAGUCCACGCCGUAAACGAUGAGUACUAGGUGUAGGAGGUAUCGACCCCUUCUGUGCCGCAGUUAACACAAUAAGUACUCCGCCUGGGAAGUACGAUCGCAAGAUUAAAACUCAAAUGAAUUGACGGGGUC